AUACAGAGGUGGCAAGCGUUGUUCGGAUUCAUUGGGCGUAAAGGGUCCGUAGGCGGUUUCGUAAGUCGGAUGUGAAAACUCAAGGCUCAACCUUGAGACGCCAUUCGAUACUGCGAUGACUAGAGUCCGGUAGGGGAGCAUGGAAUUCCUGGUGUAGCGGUGAAAUGCGCAGAUAUCAGGAGGAACACCAGUGGCGAAGGCGGUGCUCUGGGCCGGAACUGACGCUGAGGAGCGAAAGCAUGGGGAGCAAACAGGAUUAGAUACCCCAGUAGUCC
rnacentral:rRNA from 1 species